rnacentral:rRNA from 1 species
GCAACAGCUCAAAUUUGAAAUCCGGCCUUUUUUAAAAAAAGGUCUGAGUUGUAAUUUGCAGAGGAUGCUUUUGGCGUAAGCGCUUACCAAGUCCUUUGGAAUAAGGCGCCGUAGAGGGUGAGAGCCCCGUAUGGUUUGACGCUGAGCCUUUAUAAAGCUCCUUCGACGAGUCGAGUAGUUUGGGAAUGCUGCUCUAAACGGGAGGUAAAUUUCUUCUAAAGCUAAAUACCGGCCAGAGACCGAUAGCGCACAAGUAGAGUGAUCGAAAGAUGAAAAGCACUUUGAAAAGAGGGUUAAAAAGCACGUGAAAUUGUUGAAAGGGAAGCGCUAGUGAUCAGACUUGCUCCGGGCGGAUCAUCCGGUGGAUUUUUCUCCGCUGGUGCACUCCGCUUCGGUUCAGGCCAGCAUCGGCUUCCCCCGGGAGACAAAAGCUUGGGGAACGUGGCUCUCUUAGGAGGGUGUUAUAGCCCUGUUUGCAUAAUAUCCCGGGUCUUUUUUAAGGAGGCCGAGGACCGCGCCUUAAGAAUUUAUUUUUAAGGCAAGGAUGCUGGCGUAAUGGUCAUCAGCGACCCGUCUUGAAACACGGACCGAGGAGUCAAGCAUUGGUGCGAGUGUUUGGGUGGUUAAAACCCGCACGCGUAAUGAAAGUGAACGUAGGUGAGAGCUUUUUUUUUUUAAGGGCGCAUCAUCGACCGAUCCUGAUGUUUUCCGGAUGGAUUUGAGUAGGAGCAUUAACGCUUGGACCCGAAAGAUGGUGAACUAUACUUGAAUAGGGUGAAGCCAGAGGAAACUCUGGUGGAGGCUCGCAGCGGUUCUGACGUGCAAAUCGAUCGUCAAAUUUGAGUAUAGGGGCGAAAGACUAAUCGAACCAUCUAGUAGCUGGUUACCGCCGAAGUUUCCCUCAGGAUAGCAGUGUCGUUCUUCAGUUUUAUGAGGUAAAGCGAAUGAUUAGGGACUCGGGGGCGAUUUUUAGCCUUCAUCCAUUCUCAAACUUUAAAUAUGUAAGAAGCCUUUGUUACUUUGUUGAACGUAGGCCUUCGAAUGCAUCGACACUAGUGGGCCAUUUUUGGUAAGCAGAA